rnacentral:rRNA from 1 species
CUACGUAGCUCAGAGUUUGAUCCUGGCUCAGGACAAACGCUGGCGGCGUGCUUAACACAUGCAAGUCGAACGGGGUGCCUUAGAUUGAAGCUUCGGCAGAUCUCUUUGGUUACCUAGUGGCGGACGGGUGAGUAACACGUGAGUAACCUGCCCUUGAGUGGGGAAUAACACACCGAAAGGUGUGCUAAUACCGCAUAACAUAUCGGAUUCGCAUGUUUCUGAUAUCAAAGAUUUAUUGCUCAAGGAUGGGCUCGCGGCCGAUUAGGUAGUUGGUGAGGUAAUGGCUCACCAAGCCGACGAUCGGUAGCCGGACUGAGAGGUUGAACGGCCACAUUGGGACUGAGACACGGCCCAG